AUUGAACGCUGGCGGCAGGCUUAACACAUGCAAGUCGAACGAGUGGCGGACGGGUGAGUAAUGCUUGGGAAUCUAGCUUAUGGAGGGGGAUAACUACGGGAAACUGUAGCUAAUACCGCGUACCAUAGGAUGAGCCCAAGGGGGAUUAGGUAGUUGGUGAGGUAAAGGCUCACCAAGCCGACGAUCUCUAGCUGGUCUGAGAGGAUGACCAGCCACCGUGGGACUAAGCACCGGCCCAGACUCCUGCGGGAGGCAGCGGUGGGGAAUAUUUCGCAAUGGGGGACACCUGACGCAGCCAUGCCGCGUGAAUGAAGAAGGCCGUCUGGUUGUAAAGUUCUUUCGGUAGCGAGGCGUUAACUACAGAAGAAGCACCGGCUAACUCCGUGCCAGCAGCCGCGGUAAUUC
rnacentral:rRNA from 1 species